UACGUAGGGAGCAAGCGUUGUCCGGAAUCAUUGGGCGUAAAGCGCGCGUAGGUGGCCCGAUAAGUCCGCUGUGAAAGUCAACGGCUCAACUGUUGGAUGCCGGUGGAUACUGUCGGGCUAGAGUACGGAAGAGGCAAGUGGAAUUCCUGGUGUAGCGGUGGAAUGCGCAGAUAUCAGGAGGAACACCUAUAGCGAAGGCAGCUUGCUGGGACGUUACUGACGCUGAGGCACGAAAGCGUGGGGAGCAAACAGG
rnacentral:rRNA from 1 species